rnacentral:rRNA from 1 species
UACGAAGGGGGCUAGCGUUGUUCGGAAUUACUGGGCGUAAAGCGCACGUAGGCGGAUACUUAAGUCAGGGGUGAAAUCCCGGGGCUCAACCCCGGAACUGCCUUUGAUACUGGGUAUCUCGAGUCCGGAAGAGGUGAGUGGAAUUCCGAGUGUAGAGGUGAAAUUCGUAGAUAUUCGGAGGAACACCAGUGGCGAAGGCGGCUCACUGAUCCGGUACUGACGCUGAGGUGCGAAAGCGUGGGGAGCAAACAGG